GCCCUCCCUCGCCGCCAUCAGACUCCUACGGGAGGCAGCAGUAAGGAACAUUGGUCAAUGGGCGGAAGCCUGAACCAGCCAUGCCGCGUGCAGGAAGACGGCCCUACGGGUUGUAAACUGCUUUUAUACGGGAAUAAACCCUGGUACGUGUACCAGGCUGAAUGUACUGUAAGAAUAAGGAUCGGCUAACUCCGUGCCAGCAGCCGCGGUAAUAC
rnacentral:rRNA from 1 species